UUUUCCGGCAUCUACUUGAUUUUGAAUGACUUUUGGUCCCUUCUUUGUAUCAUCUGCAAUAAGUAAUUGUAAAAUUUUCAAGCGUUGUAUUCUGCAACGCUCAUUCACAUAUUUUUUUCCUCCAUGGAGAAAUGUUCCAGGCAACAACACUUGACAUGUGAUAAUUAUUGUUUCAUAAUAUGAAUGCACUAUGUUUGAUGAUUUGCAGGAUACAAAUGAUAGUUCAUCUUUCAUAAACAUCAGAUGAUGGAUUAAAAAUCUGGAGUCUGCAUCCCAUAUAUAUCAUAUUGGCUAGAGUGCUAUCUGACGCGCCUCAAUUAAAGGUAGAAUUUCUAUUGCUUUAUCUUUCAGAUUUUACUAAUGACAGCACAAUUACUCCAGAAUUUAAAAAGCCUUUUACAAUCUGUGUGGUAGUUUGUUGUUGGAUUGGUUCUUCACAUGAUGUUUGAGUAUCUGAUAUCAGUAUUAAAUUUUAUUUUUUGAGUAUCUGAUACCAGUAUUAACUAAAACAUUUAGCAAUUGUUUUGUACAGUUAUUAACAUUAGUACUUGGCAGUUUAUCGCUGCACUAAAGCUCGACUCUUCAAGACUUCAAGCACAGGAAACAAACAAGUGUAUUGAUAUUCUAAUCUUCCGUAAUUUAUAGUCAUAGACCUUCUUACCUUUUGACUUUUGUAGAGUACUUGUAGUUUAUUUGUUCUACCUUCCGUAAUUUAUUGAUAUUCUAACUUGAUUGUUUUAAAGUCGGAUAUGCAUGGGUGAAUAUCCCCUUCCUGCGCUGCAAAUAUUCUAAUCUAUAAAUCUUUUAGCAGUACUGUAAGCCACUGACCUAGUGGUUUGAAUUUCACAUUAUUGUUUCACAUUAGUUGCCUGCGGCCCUGCUCCUUUCCUAUGGUCAAGAGGUUUCCAGGGAAGCUGUUUUGACUUUUGUUGAAGUAAAGCUUUCUUUUGUUUCUCCUUGUGUAGUUAGGCAAGCAAAUGCAAAUAUCAAGAGCCUUAUAUUAUCAGAAACUUUUGUUAUGUUUCUCAAAGAUAAAUCAGACUAUCAGAAACUUUUGUUAUGUUUUUAUUUAGAAUCCAAAUAUUAAGAGCCUUAUAUUUAUGUGUUAUUCCUAUCCUCUACCACUUGUUUGAAUUUUUAAAUAAUGCUUUGUCCAACAUUCUGAAAAACUAGAAUGAAAUUUGGAUUUCCUUUUCUCCUAAGAGCUACAAAGAACUGAUGGCUAAGUGCAAUUCUCUAGGGAGGGGAAAAGCUCGUUCACUGAGAAAGCUUGAAAAUGUAAAAGAAAAUAUUGUAAAGCUCAAGUGAUUAGGUGGUUGCCGACUGCCGAGUGUUUUAAAUAGGUAUGCUCAAAAUCAAGCAUCCAAGGUGCAAUCAGACUCAAACUUGUUGGUUGAUUGGUUUACAAGUGGACGCUACGAAAGCGAAGAAAGAUGGAAUUUUGAAUUAUGCAGGAGCGAAAACAAUUUUUUCUAUGAAGAUGGCCAGCCUUUGUUUCUUUAUAUGGGCUCCAAGGAUGUAAGCCAUUAUUGUGGAUCUUGCAGAAAAGGCUGUUUCCAUGUGCUUAUCAGUUGUUCUCUGGUCACUUUCAGGUCUUGUGAUUCAAGUUCUAGCUGCAUGAUAGAGAGAAGAUAAAUUCUGCAGCAAGUUGUAUCCCAUGUUCCACGGAGAUUAUUCUAGAAGCUCUAAAUUUACAAGUAAAGAGAAAUGGCGACAAGUCUUUUUUCAAUGCUUUUAGUGUAAAACAAUUUCGAUAGGAAGUGCGUCGUGAUAGUUAAUUAUAUAAUUUUAUAUUGUAUGGUUAUUAUUAUUUUUUCCCAUUAUUUGAACAAAUCCAUUCAAGACUCAUAUUCUGUAUUCUAUACGUUAAUGAUUAAUGAAAAGAUUCCAUU